rnacentral:lncRNA from 12 species
CACGAGCGUUGCUGCAGUGAGGUGAGAAGGACCACUGUGACAUUGGCAGCACCACUGUGACACAGGAACUGCCACAGCCGCACCUCAGGGCUGCGUCCCAGGCGACUGCAGCCAGUCCUGCCUCGCCAUGGACCUGGUGACGCGUCUGGUGCGCGCCCUGCUCCUGCUGGCCCUGCUGCUGGCCGUGCUCCCCUGCCCAGGAGUGGCCAAGGAGCUCUGCCCAGAGCCCUGCCACUGCCCACAGCAUGGGCAUCUGGACUGCCAGGACAUGGGCCUGGCCACCGUGCCCCCGGCCAGCCGCCACUGGCCCCUCGCCGUCCUGUACAGCAGGAGUCCGUGUAGGUCACAGAGUUGCCAAGGGAAGGAGGAC